ensembl:lncRNA
AUGUCAUGGUUAAUGUUCUAAGAAUGGACUGAAAGUAUAUACAAAAUUAAACACUAAGACAAAGUAGUUGUGUUUGAUGCCAUAGAAAUCCUUUUUUAAUCAAUAAAAAUCAUGAAAUACUUUCUUACAAAUCAAAUCUGAUCUCUAGUACACAGGUAAGUACAGAAGUACAUUUACACACAGUGACACAAAGUCGUAGUAUUCCCAAGAGAAAAAUGUAUAGAGCCGAUCGGCAGUUUUUUAAAAGCAAGAAAAUGAAUCAAAAACUGAAUUAAAACUACUAUGUAAAUCAACUAAUUGACAAAAUAAUGAUAAUGCAAAGCAUAUAACAUACUUGUAAACAUGUUACGUUUCAAGCCAUGGUAGUGUGAAAGAUUUACAAAAAAGGGUGCCAAACCUAAAUGUUUUCCAUAUUAUACAGAGUCACUGUGCUGUGUCCUUUGUGCUAUCAACUGCCAGCCGUUGCACUUUCUAUGCACCACCAGUGCAUAAUGCCAGUGGUGGAAAAAGUACUCAAUUUUCAUACUUGCGUAAAACUAAAGAUACCUUACUGGAAAAUUAGUCAAUAAAAGUGAAAGUCACCCUGUAAAACACUACUUGAGUAAAAGUCUAAAAGUAUUUGGUUUUAAAUAUACUAAGGUAUCAAAAGUAAAUGUAGUUACUAAAAUAUACUUAAGUAUCAAAAGUAAAAGUACGAAUAAUAUAAUUCCUUAUAUUAAGCAAACCAGACGGCACAAUUGUCUUGUUUUUAUUUAUUAACGGAUAGCCAGGGUCACACUCCAACACUCAAACAUCAUUUAAAAACAAAGCAUUUGUGUUUAGUGAGUCAGCCAGAUCAGAGGUAGUAGGGAUGACCAGGGAUGUUCUCUUGAUAAGUGUGUGAAUUUGACAAUUUUCUGUCCUGCUAAGAAUUCAAAAUGUAAUGAAUAAUUUUGGGUGUCAGGGAAAAUGUAUGGAGUAAAAAGUACAGAAUUUUCUUUUGGAAUGUAGUGAAGUAAAAGUAAUAGUUGUCAAAAAUAUAUCAAGUAAAGUACAGAUACCCCAAAAAACUACGUAAAGUAGUAGUUUAAAGUAUUUUUACUUAAGUAUUUUACACCACUGCAUAAUGCAUUAUUAAUAGUUUAUAGUGACUUACAGUAUAUCACUCCAUGCUGCAUUAUGAGCCCAAAUUCCAAAGUGAAUUAUAAGACUAUAAGCAUUCAUAACACCUUUUAUAAAAACAUAUAGGCCAUCAAUAUAUUCAGAAAGAAUUACAUUCUGCAUUCUAAAAACGUUAUAUACGCUUUUAUCACAGUUUAUGGCUCCCUAUGGCAGCAUGUAUACUUUAAAUACCUAUAAAUGCAUUUGCAUUGCGUUACACAAAGGCGGGUUGUUGAGUGCAAGACCCCGCAGGCUAAUUCAGAUUUAUCUGUUGUAAUGCUGGAGAAAAUCUGUGAAUUCUGUCAUAACAUGACACAAGCAGAUGUCUUCUUAGUUGAUAUUUCUUUGGUAACAAAACAUUUAGGUCAAUGGUGUUAUCAUUCGGAAUGUCUACCAAGCCAUUUCCAUGCACCAGAGAGAGAGAGAGAGAGAGAGAGAGAGAGAGAGAGAGAGAGAGAGAGAGAGCGAGAGAGAUAAAGAGAUAUAAUGUAUAAUGUGCUGGCGUACUGUGGGACUUCUUGUGGAAG